rnacentral:lncRNA from 1 species
CUACACUGGUUAUGCCAUCUUGGAAGCAACCCCCUGUCCCCUCUUCUUAAAGGGGAGAUUGCGUUAGGAUCCUCAACAUGGCUUGAGCACUGCAUCAUCCAUCCUCCCUGGCCUUCUUCUUUGCAUUCCCCACAGCUGGAGCUUUCAGACAAAGCUUAGGAUACGCACCCUUUCCUGGAAAGGAUAUGUCCAUUUGCAUGGUCAGUCUCAAGGUAAAAGCUGUUUGCAUGGCUUAAGUAUGGGUCACACACAAACUAUAGCUUCUGUUCUGGCAAAGAUACACAGUUUUUGCUUUGCACAGAAGAGAUAUUCACUUUGAGAAGGGUGUGUGCUUGUGUGUGUGUGUGUGUGUGUGUGUGUAUGUGUGUGUGUAGUGAGGGAGCCCAGUCUGGGUCUCCUGGACAUCUGACCACCACUGGGCUUCACUUGGCACAUCUGGCACAUGCAUGGGGCCUCAGCUUUCUGAAGAAAACACAACCUAUGAGAAGAGAAAGUUAAUUAGGGACAAAGGUUUAGUUAACUAACAGAGCCUGAGGGAAGAGCUACUCAGGAUAUAAUAUGGUGUGUGUCACUUGGAUUGUCCUCAAGCAGAAAACUGACAUCAUUACCGCCAUGUUGGACAGAAGGAGCUCUGCUCUGGUGCCCUGAUUGCAAAGUGUGAGGUUGAUGGGAUGAGGUAGGCCUUCUUCUUGCUUGAGCCCUGCUGGUCAGCUUGGCUGUACAGAGGGCUGGACCUGGAGGUUCCUGGCCUUCCCAUGGCCCCUAUGAGAAGCUGGCAUGUGGGUCACCCUCACGGUGGUGCCUGGAAAAGGUGACACUGUGGCAGGUGGGGGGAGGGAGGAGAAAAAGGACGUAGGUCAUGAGAUACGUGACAGGGUAUCCUGCAGUAUUUCCAAGACAUUCUCUGGGGACCUUGAGAAAUAACACCAGGGUGAGGUGGGCAUUGCAGGGAACUGAGGAUGUCCCU